GCCGUGAUGAUCUAUCUAAUACCAACUGAGACUAUUCAAAAACCAGCUGCCAUUCCAGCAUGAUGAUGCAAGAGGACGAUGGUUGAACUUGCAAAUAGCUUACACAUUAUUUUUCAAUUUAUUAAGUAUUUUAGUGUGGAGUCUGGUGAGGGGACUAUGUUUCAUGAAGCCAUUAGAAGACUGUUGCUGACCUCUGUUGAAUGCAGGUCAUGGGCAGUGAGCUGACUGAGAGGAAUCUGGCAGUAACCCAAAUAUCAGAGGCAGAGCAUCUCUCUUUCCCUGCUGCUGACAACUGCAUAACCAGCCAUGCAACAAACCAUACUGUACUGUUCCAUAAAGAAGUAAGCCUUAGUUGGUAUCAAGAUUGACGUGGGCCAUCAUUGAAACAAAGAGAUGCCUCCCUGGCCAC